UACGUAGGGGGCUAGCGUUGUCCGGAUUUAUUGGGCGUAAAGAGCGCGUAGGCGGUCCGAUAAGUCGGCUGUGAAAGUCCAGGGCUCAACCCUGGAAAGCCGGCCGAUACUGUCGGACUAGAGUCCGGAAGAGGCAAGUGGAAUUCCCGGUGUAGCGGUGAAAUGCGCAGAUAUCGGGAGGAACACCAAUGGCGAAGGCAGCUUGCUGGGACGGUACUGACGCUGAGGCGCGAAAAGCGUGGGGAGCAAACAGGG
rnacentral:rRNA from 1 species